rnacentral:tRNA from 1 species
GUGAGGAUAGCUCAGUGGUAGGGCAUGUGCUUAGCAUGCACAAGGUCCUGGGUUCGGUCCCCAGUCCCUCCG